CUUGACGUAGUCCCCGUUCGAGGCAGAACUCUCCAGAUGGAAAACCAUUAAUCAAAACAUUUGCCGUUGCCGAAGAUAAGCAACCGGUGAUCCAUCGCCUCCACAGGGGAUCAAAAUUCAGCUGCUCUAACAUGACGUCGAUGAAAUCCCACUCGACAGAAUCAUAAGCUUUGGCGAAGUCGAUUUUCAAAAAGACUCUACUGAUGCCCC
rnacentral:lncRNA from 1 species